rnacentral:rRNA from 1 species
UACGUAGGGUGCGAGCGUUAAUCGGAAUUACUGGGCGUAAAGUGUGCGCAGGCGGCUUCGCAAGUCGAGUGUGAAAUCCCCGAGCUUAACUUGGGAAUUGCGCUCGAAACUACGGAGCUGGAGUGUGGCAGAGGAAGGUGGAAUUCCACGUGUAGCGGUGAAAUGCGUAGAGAUGUGGAGGAACACCGAUGGCGAAGGCAGCCUUCUGGGCCAACACUGACGCUCAGGCACGAAAGCGUGGGGAGCAAACAGG